GAUGAAGAACGUAGCGAAAUGCGAUAAGUAAUGUGAAUUGCAGAAUUCAGUGAAUCAUCGAAUCUUUGAACGCACAUUGCGCCCGCCAGUAUUCUGGCGGGCAUGCCUGUUCGAGCGUCAUUUCAACCAUCAAGCCCCCGGCUUGUGUUGGGGCGCUAGGUCUCCCAGAGGCCUAGGCCCCCAAGUAGCAGUGCGCGGUCCGGCUGCGGGCCCCGGGUACAGUAACUUCACUGUUGAGAUGCCCUGGGAGCCGCUGGCUGGGUCAGCCGUAAAACCCCCGACAUAGGCCUUCCUGUCCGCCCCCGGCGGGGAGGGAGACCGCCUAAUGUUGACCUCGGAUCAGGUAGGACUACCCGCUGAACUUAAGCAUAUCAAUAAGCGGAGGA
rnacentral:misc_RNA from 1 species